GCGCCAAACCCUUUCUUCCUGAGCCUUCACCACGCGAGUACCAGCCGACCUCUCUCUUCCCGAGCUCUCACCCUCUCUAGCCUCUUCCCCUCACGCGACGAGCCACAGACGUCACCCCCUCCUUCACCAAACCCUUCUCCUCAAAUCCUCCGUCGAACCUGCUCUCCUCCUCGCGCGGGCACCACAGCCGACGAUCCUCUUCCCCUCUCCGUUGUGCCCUAACUUCUUUUCCUCUUCGCCAAGACGCGCCGCAGCCACCUACUCCCGAGCCUUCGCCUCUUCCUCAUGAUCUCACCGCACCGACCCCUCACCUGUGCCCUAGUUGUUCUUGACGCCGAUUUCUUCUUCCUCUUUCUGCUCGCGUCGCCCCGGUGGCCCCGGCAAACACCGGCCGCCAGCCAGUCUUCCAUUGCCGCUGCCCUCUACUCAGGUUCAUCACCACAGCAGAGGCAUUCUUGGUAGCUGUCGGUAAAGCUAACCCUUUCCGGCAACAAAGCCCUAGUUGUGCGUGGUGGGUUUGAGAGCGUUGAUUGAGACGGUUGACUUAACGGGACGUGAUUUGAUUCAGACUACAUAUUAAAGUUUUCUUUCGCCAGGUAACAGGUAGAUGAGUCAUGGAUGCUUGGAGAGAUGUUGGCUGCCAGUCCUAGGUCCUACGUCACACUCGAGGAUAGUUUUCUUUUUGGGUUUUGUUACCGUUUGAGUGGUAUGUUAAUUUUGCGUAUUUUACUUUUGAACAAGUUGAUGUGGAUUUUUGGAGUCUAGUCUGGUGGUUAUAGGUAAUUUUGCUAGUACCGUUAUUGGUCUUAUGUUCGUAUUAUUUUGUGUUCUCCGCUGUGCAUGUUUACUUUCAGCCAUGUAGGCUUAUUAAACUGCGUGGUUGUGUU